GAUGAACGCUGGCGGCGUGCCUAAUACAUGCAAGUCGAACGCAUAGCGAAAGGUGCUUGCACCUUUCAAGUGAGUGGCGAACGGGUGAGUAACACGUGGACAACCUGCCUCAAGGCUGGGGAUAACAUUUGGAAACAGAUGCUAAUACCGAAUAAAACUUAGUGUCGCAUGACACAAAGUUAAAAGGCGCUUCGGCGUCACCUAGAGAUGGAUCCGCGGUGCAUUAGUUAGUUGGUGGGGUAAAGGCCUACCAAGACAAUGAUGCAUAGCCGAGUUGAGAGACGGAUCGGCCACAUUGGGACUGAGACACGGCCCAAACUCCUACGGGAGGCUGCAGUAGGGAAUCUUCCACAAUGGGCGAAAGCCUGAUGGAGCAACGCCGCGUGUGUGAUGAAGGCUUUCGGGUCGGAAAGCACUGUUGUAUGGGAAGAACAGCUAGAAUAGGAAAUGAUUUUAGUGUGACGGUACCAUACCAGAAAGGGACGGCUAAAUACG
rnacentral:rRNA from 1 species